CCACNAUGUNNNANUCCNCCGGGCCUCANCCUNGGGNNNCUGCCNUCUUNAUNCNGGGCACNCNUCAGUUCUNGUNCNGGGGGGNANNNUUCCCNGNUGAAGCGGUGAAAUCGUACNAGAUCUCGNAGGAAUNCCCGGUGGCGAACGCGNCCCCCUGGACGAAGACUGACCGNUCAGGUGCGAAAAGCGUGGGGAGCNNAACAGGAUUAGAUACCCUGGUAGUCCACCGCCGUAAACGAUGUCGACUUGGACGUUGUGCCCCUUGAGGCGUGGCUUCCGGAGCUAACGCGUUAAGUCGACCGCCUGGGGAGUACGGCCGCAAGGUUAAAACUCAAAUGAAUUGACGGGGGCCCGCACAAGCGGUGGAGCAUGUGGUUUAAUUCGAUGCAACGCGAAGAACCUUACCUGGUCUUGACAUCCACGGAAGUUUUCAGAGAUGAGAAUGUGCCUUCGGGAACCGUGAGACAGGUGCUGCAUGGCUGUCGUCAGCUCGUGUUGUGAAAUGUUGGGUUAAGUCCCGCAACGAGCGCAACCCUUAUCCUUUGUUGCCAGCGGUCCGGCCGGGAACUCAAAGGAGACUGCCAGUGAUAAACUGGAGGAAGGUGGGGAUGACGUCAAGUCAUCAUGGCCCUUACGACCAGGGCUACACACGUGCUACAAUGGCGCAUACAAAGAGAAGCGACCUCGCGAGAGCAAGCGGACCUCAUAAAGUGCGUCGUAGUCCGGAUUGGAGUCUGCAACUCGACUCCAUGAAGUCGGAAUCGCUAGUAAUCGUGGAUCAGAAUGCCACGGUGAAUACGUUCCCGGGCCUUGUACACACCGCCCGUCACACCAUGGGAGUGGGUUGCAAAAGAAGUAGGUAGCUUAACCUUCGGGAGGGCGCUUACCACUUUGUGAUUCAUGACUGGGGUGAAGUCGUAACAAGGUAACCGUAGGGGAA
rnacentral:rRNA from 1 species